rnacentral:misc_RNA from 1 species
CGGAGAAUGUUACUUUUGAUAUAAGAACAAUACAUUGAAGGCUAUUGCAAAUGGCGCACACAACAUGCUAAACUGAGUCAAAAGGAGUGCACAUAGAAUCCAACUCUGCCAUCAUCUUCAUAUGGCAAAGCAGUAUGAAGGGAUUGUUUUCCAAAUUCCAAAGACUACAAAAAUGAGCAAUGCUACAGAAACAGAUACCACAAACUCCCUUUACCUUUCCCUCUCCCUUUCCCUUCCCCACCGCAGCAGAUACCAAGCUAUAAAGGAUAUUUAUUGCAUCUUUCAACUAAGUUAUCAGCUGCAAAUAAAAUGGGGGACUAUGCAGCAGACAUUAUGCACUCGAUUGCUUGUUUGCAGAUACCAGUCAUUGUGGCCUCUGGGCCAAAAACCUCGAGUGGAACUCCAAGCUCUUCUCCUAGAGCCCGCAUUUUUGCAAGACCGGUCUGAUAAUUUGGACCACCUCUCCGAACAUAGAUAUGCAUUCUUGCAGCCUUCAAUUUCGAUUCUUUCUCUCUUAGAGCUCGAAUAAUUCCAUUGAAAGUGGCAGCAACAUCUGUGAAAUUAGCUAUUCCCCCUCCAAUUAGAAGGGCUCGCUUCCGCCCAUCAGGGUCGGAAGUAGCACAAUCAAUAACAACUCGGGCAUAUUGCAACACCUCCUCCUCAUUUGGAGCCCCACUGUAUUCUGCAUAAUUACCAAGCUCAGAUGCAUAACCCAAAUCCCCAACAGUAUCGGCAUAUAUAACGCUAGCACCCCCUCCUGCCACCAUCGUCCAAAUGCGCCCUUUUGGGUUCAAAACAGUGAAUUUCAAGGAUGCACUUGUCUUUUCAUCUAAAGAGUGAACAAAGCUUUCUGUAGGGUUUAGCACUCGACCAAAGGGCAAAGGAAAUUCAAUGUUUCCCCAUUUCUUAAAAUUUUUGAAGGCAGCAGUGUCAUCCAAUUCCCCCCUCAUAUCCAGUGGAUACGGCUCCCCAUUCACCAGGGUAAAUGGAUUCAUCUCCAGGAAACUGAAGUCCAGAUCUUGAAAUACACUGAAUACACCCAUUAUGAAGUCACCAAUCUUUCCUCGAAUCUCCAGAGGAAGUGUAGCUAUUAACGGAGCACAUGCCUCAAGUGUAAAAGGUUUUUCAGUUGGAAGGAAAAUUGUCUUGACUUUAUCCCAGUUCUCUUCAAUUUCGAUACCCCCACACUCUGAAAAACUUAUCGUGCAGCCAAGCCUUUCAGAAACAAUAGAGAGGUAGUACUCUUGAUCAUGGGGAACAAAUGGCUCCACAAUGAAUGUCGUAAUUGGAGCCUUGCAACCACCCAUCUCAACCUGCACUCCAAGGCGUG